UACUCAGUUCGGAUUGUAGGCUGNAACCCGCCUGCAUGAAGUUGGAAUUGCUAGUAAUCGCGGAUCAGCAUGCCGCGGUGAAUACGUUCCCGGGCCUUGUACACACCGCCCGUCACACCAUGGGAGCCGGUAAUACCCGAAGUCAGUAGCCUAACCGCAAGGAGGGCGCUGCCGAAGGUAGGAUUGGCGACUGGGGUGAAGUCGUAACAAGGUAAC
rnacentral:rRNA from 1 species